rnacentral:rRNA from 1 species
GACGAACCGUGCGAACGUUAUUCGGAAUCACUGGGCUUAAAGCGUGUGUAGGCGGAUCGGUAAGUACCUUGUGAAAUCCCACAGCUUAACUGUGGAACUGCUUGGUAUACUGCCGGUCUUGAGCCAGCUAGGGGCUACCGGAACAAAUGGUGGAGCGGUGAAAUGCGUAGAUAUCAUUUGGAACGCCAAUGGUGAAAACAGGUAGCUGGGGCUGUGCUGACGCUGAGACACGAAAGCCAGGGGAGCAAACGGGG